GGGAUUGCCCUAGUAACGGCGAGUGAAGCGGCAACAGCUCAAAUUUGAAAUCUGGCCCCCAGGCCCGAGUUGUAAUUUGUAGAGGAUGCUUUUGGUGACGCGCUUACCGAGUCCCCUGGAAUGGGGCGCCACAGAGGGUGAGAGCCCCGUAUGGUUUGCCGCCGAGCCUCUGUAAAGCUCCUUCGACGAGUCGAGUAGUUUGGGAAUGCUGCUCUAAAUGGGAGGUAAAUUUCUUCUAAAGCUAAAUACCGGCCAGAGACCGAUAGCGCACAAGUAGAGUGAUCGAAAGAUGAAAAGCACUUUGAAAAGAGGGUUAAAUAGCACGUGAAAUUGUUGAAAGGGAAGCGCUUGUGACCAGACUCGCGCCGGGCGGAUCAUCCAGCGUUCUCGCUGGUGCACUCCGCCCGGCUCGGGCCAGCAUCGGUUUUCGCCGGGGGACAAAAGCUUCGGGAACGUGGCCCCCUUCGGGGGGUGUUAUAGCCCGUGGCAGAAUACCCCGGCGGGGACCGAGGACCGCGCUUCGGCAAGGAUGCUGGCGUAAUGGUCAUCAGCGACCCGUCUUGAAACACGGACCGAGGAGUCAAGCAUUAGUGCGAGUGUUUGGGUGUAAAACCCGCACGCGUAAUGAAAGUGAACGUAGGUGAGAGCUUCGGCGCAUCAUCGACCGAUCCUGAAGUUUACGGAUGGAUUUGAGUAGGAGCAUUAACGCUUGGACCCGAAAGAUGGUGAACUAUACUUGAAUAGGGUGAAGCCAGAGGAAACUCUGGUGGAGGCUCGCAGCGGUUCUGACGUGCAAAUCGAUCGUCAAAUUUG
rnacentral:rRNA from 1 species